UGGCAGUCAAAUGUCAGCUAUAAACGUACAGAAUAACAAGAGUAUGCUAAAAAUGCCUGAGUCGACCAAGCAGUUGAAACAGGAACAAUAUGUUCUAAAAAAUAUAACAAAUGGCUUAACUGAGGGACUGAGUGAACAGGAGGAACAGAUCAGUGGGACUGAAGCCAGCUUCUCAUCAGCUGUCACUCAAACACAGUAGCUCAAGACCAACGGCUGCACCUCUAAGGAGCAGGGCACGGGCAAAGGCUGUAAAAGGAAAAAGAAUCAGACACUGGCCAGCACAAAAAGCAGGCCCAGUCCAGAGUGCUCAGAAAAAGAGAUA